AACGAACGCUGGCGGCAGGCCUAACACAUGCAAGUCGAACGCUGUAGCAAUACAGAGUGGCAGACGGGUGAGUAACGCGUGGAACCUUCCCAAUGGUACGGAAUAGCCCAGGGAAACUUGGGGUAAUACCGUAUACGCCCCUAGGGGGAAAGAUUUAUCGCCAUUGGAUGGGCCCGCGUCGGAUUAGCUAGUUGGUGGGGUAACGGCCUACCAAGGCGACGAUCCGUAGCUGGUCUGAGAGGAUGAUCAGCCACACUGGGACUGAGACACGGCCCAGACUACUACGGGAGGCAGCAGUGGGGAAUAUUGGACAAUGGGCGCAAGCCUGGUCCAGCCAUGCCGCGUGAGUGACGAAGGUCUUCGGAUUGUAAAGCUCUUUUGGCGGGGACGAUAAUGACGGUACCCGCAGAAUAAGCCCCGGCUAACUUCGUGCCAGCAGCCGCAGUAA
rnacentral:rRNA from 1 species